AUAAAUCACAAGUCUGCUCAAGAAGGUUCGGGGCCUUGGCAUAUAUAGCCACAUAUAUCGCACCCCCUUGAGAGGUGUGGUGUAUGAAGCGCCACAAAUGUCACCGGGUGAAUUUUCAUUUUUCCUCUUUUUUAAAGGGGGCACAAAAGGGGGCAUCUACUCUUAAACCAUGACCGGGAUUCACUACAAAUUGCCACAUAGGACUUCAGUGUGGGUGUGGGAUUAAAGCAGCUUUAAUUAUAUUUGUGAUUUACGAACUAAACUGAUUUAUUGUUUUAGCUUACCCUUUUUAUCUGACUCUUUCCAGUAGGUUUACUACUUUAAUGCAUUCAAUUGAUAAAAUCAAUUCUGCUCUUAAUAAUAAUUUUUUUCUGUUUUUCUGAAUCAACAACAUAAUUAUCUCAGAACUCUGUGAUAAGGCUUUAUGGAAUCACAAUUCUGGGUAACGCUUUAUAUUAUGGUCCUUGUAUUAUGCCUUAGUUAAUAGCUAAUAAGACCCUUGUUAUAUGCGUAUUAACAUUAAUUGGUGUUAAUAAGACUAUAUAAAAGUGUAAACAUAAUAAUAAUAAUCAUGUUUAUUGCGAGAUUAUAAUACUUUUAUGUGCUAACUAUUUAUCGAUUGCUUAAUAACAUUAAUAAUAGUCUUAUGAGUUUCUUAUAGUUGUUAAUAAAAGCAUUACAAACCCAUUUAUUGAGUCUUACUACCGCACAUGUUGAGUGAGUGUGAUCUGUUUUGUGCCGCAUAUGUGUUCAACAUCAAGUGUUCGAACAUUUGGAAAACAUGUCGGAAUCAUCAGCACCCAAAACCAACAACUGACAGUCAAAAGAUAGGCACAAGCACAGAAAACAUGGAUGAGAGGAAAAGGUCUGAACUGGAGGACGACCCGUCUGUAACAAGAAAGACCAGCCAGAAGAAUACUCAACCAUCCCCCUUUUUGUUUUUCUCCUGGUUAAUUAAAGGUUAAAUAAAAAAUGGAGAUGUCAGACUGGGAUUCAUCUGAAUCUGUUUUAUUGAAAUGUUGAUGUUCAAGAUUAUUUUUCAUUAAAGUUCUGAAGUUCUUCAAAUUAUUAUUAUUUUUCAAAAGAGCUGUCUUAAAGUGUGUUUUUGUGCUUCACCGCCAUAACUUUGUAUUAACAGUAUGUCGUUUCUCUCAUCAACCUUGACAACAUGUAGAACUCAUUAACUGAUUAUAAGUGUAUAUUAAAGGACUUAUUAACCUUAAUAAGCAUUGUUCCCACUUUAGAUCCUGUACCUGCAAAAUGCAU
ensembl:lncRNA